rnacentral:rRNA from 1 species
CGUACCCCAAACCGACACAGGUGGUCAGGUAGAGAAUACCAAGGCGCUUGAGAGAACUCGGGUGAAGGAACUAGGCAAAAUGGCACCGUAACUUCGGGAGAAGGUGCGCCGCUGUUGGUGAUCGGACUUGCUCCGUAAGCUGACGGCGGUCGAAGAUACCAGGUGGCUGCGACUGUUUAGUAAAAACACAGCACUCUGCAAACGCGCAAGCGGACGUAUAGGGUGUGACGCCUGCCCGGUGCCGGAAG